GUGCCAGCAGCCGCGGUAAUUCCAGCUCCAAUAGCGUAUAUUAAAGUUGUUGCAGUUAAAAAGCUCGUAGUUGGAUCUCGGGUCCAGGCUUGUGGUGCAGCUUAGGCUGCUUACUGCUCGUCCUGACCUACCUACCGGUUUUCCCUUGGUGCUCUUAAGUGAGUGUCUUGGGUGGCCGGAACGUUUACUUUGAAAAAAUUAGAGUGCUCAAAGCAGGCUUUCGCCUGAAUAUUAGUGCAUGGAAUAAUUGAAUAGGACCUCGGUUCUAUUUUGUUGGUUUUCGGAACUCGAGGUAAUGAUUAAGAGGGACAGACGGGGGCAUUCGUAUUACGGUGUUAGAGGUGAAAUUCUUGGAUCGCCGUAAGACGAACUACUGCGAAAGCAUUUGCCAAGAAUGUUUUCAUUAAUCA
rnacentral:rRNA from 1 species